AUGACCCAAUUCCAUUUUGACUCAAUCACUCAUUAUCCAAUUUAUACAAUAGUCCAAACCCCAUAAACCAAGUAUUUGCAUCUGCAGCAUCCAGGUGAAAUGCAGCGAAACGCCAAACCACAAGCUAAAACGGAUAAAACGACAAUGAAAAGUAAAACGCAGAUAACAUAAGCGAAAAUAGAAAUUGGAAAACGGCGGUGUGAAUUACCAAAACGCAGAAUUAAGUUUCUAUAAGUACAUGAUUUCACAGGGAUUUGGGGGGCUCUCCAAUUUCUUCCAAAACUCUUCUUUUCUCUUUCUCUCUUCUGCAACCUCACCUUCAAUCUCUCUUCCAACCCCUUCGCCAAACGUAGAACCUCCAUUUCCAUCACCUUCAACACCUUCCAAUCUUAACUUCUUGAAUCCACUCCAAUCUCAAUAACCAACUCUCAUACGAUCUUCAAGGACCUACAAUUCACGAUUUUGCUUUCCCUAACAAUAACAACAGAAAUAGAAGAAAAGAGAUGAAGGAUUCCAACAGAAACUCACGAUCAUUUUCAUCAGCACCGCAUGAGCACGGUGUAACGUCUUCGUCGUCAUCAAGAAACUUGGACUCAAACGCGACCUUCAUAAUCCACAAAGAGAGACUGUGCGCGAUGUUUGCACUGAGGGACUCGAGUCUCUCUCGACGAGGACUUCAGCGUUGACGUUGCUUUUGUUUCAGAUGGGAGGGGGAAGUGAGCUAUUCGUUGUUUCGAUCGCCGUCGUUCUUUCACUUACCUUCUAUUAGAGCAAUGAGCGUGGAGAGAAGGAGGAUGGAACCUCCGUUAGGUUUUUGUUCAAUUGUUGCUUGGGCCUUUAGGCCCGAUGUUGUUCUGUUCUUGGCACCCUCUGUGAUUUGUCCAUACACCCUCUCUGUGUGGGCCAGGCUUGAUUUAAAGCCCAGGCUGAGGUGAUUUGGAUUUUAAUGUUGGUUAAUUAAGACUUAAUUCAGAUUAGCUAGAUUAAUUGUGUGAGUUAGGAUAUUAAUCAUGUUGUUUUGGAUAAUUGUUAGAUAAUUGGAUUAAUGAUUUUUAGAAUUGACUUGGUAAUUGUUUUAGAAGUUGUUUUUUGUUAAUUGUUUAGGAAUUAAUAUUAUAGAAUUGUUAGAUUAAUUUUAAUGUAAUUGAAUAAUUUUGUAGAUAAUUGGACUAUUUUUUAAUUAUUUUAGAAUUUAUUUUUGUUAAUUGUUUUAGAAUUUAUUUUUGUUAAUUAUUUUGGAAUUUAUUUUGAUAUUAUUUUUAAUCUUAGAAUUGCACUUGAUUUUGAUACUUUGGUGAUUGUUUUGACUUUUAGAAUUUGAUUUUUAUAUUGAUAUUGAAUACUCUCUGUCUUAAUCACUAACAUCUAACAUCUAACAAUUAACUCUAACUUUUAAAUUUUCGCAUUCUAACUUUUACAUUUCGCGUAUAACUCCUAACAAUUUAUUUCUGGUUAGUUACUUACUUUACUUUGCUUUUUUUGCUUUUAUAUCAUGUCAUCAUCUAUCAUUCACCUCCAUCUUAAAAUGAACUAAAAAAUGGCAAUGACUUAAAAAAUACAAAAAUACAAUAACUACCAAGCAUGGAAAGGACCUUGGACAAUGGACUUAGGGACUCAUUAUGACCCUUGCAAAAGACCUUGGAUGAUUAUUUGACUCGAACAUGGAAGGAGCAUUCAAGACUCAAGAAGACUUUGUAAUCCUUUAUGCGCUUUCUAGUUUAGGACAUAUGCGCUUUCUAGUUUAGGACAUAAUGCGCACACAAGGCUUUCUCUUGGACUACCUGACAGUGAGACCUUUUAUUUUUGCACUCCCUUGUACUUUACAUGUACCCCCUCCCCUUUUGAAUGUAUGAUUUUACUUGCUUUCUUUA